AACUAUACAAAUAAUGUAAGCUGAAUACUCCAACAAUACAUCAAGAUACAUAUUGUCGAACACCAUAUUGCAAGGAUGCGGAGGAUUCAGAGUAGAAAGUUUUCAGAACUUAUUACUAACAAAACCUCAAUAGCCACCUCUUAUACAGCUCACAGGAGCUCGUAGAGACCUAGAUUCAUACGGUUCAUGGUAUUCAAUUGUACUAUACGAAGUAAAGAGAUCUCAUAGCAUGUCAUCUCCCAAAUAAGCACCAUGCUCUACAAUUAUUUUGCAACGGAUGUGUGUAUUUGUUCCAGGACUAACAUAUGAGCACAAACAGCGCUGCUGGCCGUGGAAUUGUUGCACAGAACCAACUGAUAUGAUGCUUUAGAGGAGUUAGGGGGGAACGACCAUUGUAAGAUGUGAUAUUAUAAGGAUUCAAUGCACAAUGAGGGAAACAGGGAGUUGUGUGGAAAAUAAUUUUGUGACCUAGUCCACAAAUUCACCCUGGUGGACCAACUCCAGCAAUUGACACGUGGACAGGAGGGAGAAAAUGUACAGGAUUUGGUCGCCUAUUUUUAGAUAUAAACUACCACACAUGACAUGUGUCAAUCGCUGGGGUUAGUCCACGGAGGUGAAUUUGUGGACCAGGUCCCAUAAAAUUAUUUUCCGAGCUAUGUGACUCAUGUGGUUCAUUAGGAAUAGGAUGAAGGGAAGACAUCUCAUAGCAAGCCAUCUCCCGAGUAAUCUACAAUGCUUUUUCUAAAUGGUAGUACAAUAUUUACUUGACCCAAGACUAGUACAUGAGCACAAACAGGGGGCUGGCAAAGAAAUCCAUUGCAAAAUGUGGUCCAAGGUGACCAUUUCCAUACUCCAUAGUCCACUCCGAAUGAUCCGUAAUGUAUAUGUUGAAUCAUGUUUAUGGUCACACCAUAGCAAUGCGUUUGAUGCGGUAUGCAAGAUUGUAUGUACGAUGAGGGAAACAGGCGCUGCGUGACGCUAUUGCAGAUACUAGGAAUCUCUGAAGUCUGAACAUUCCUCCUUGUGGCCUUGUUCUUCUCCUAGAACUGGGCAGGUUGUGAAAUCGUUGACAACAGGUGCGCAUACUGAACUACUGAAACCAAGUUUGCUAGCACUGAUGUUGGUAAUGGGAGUGCGUGACACAAAUAAAAUGGCAAUUGGGGACACCGAGAUGACAGAAUUGGGGAAGGCGAGUGCGAGCUCGUUGAAGAGUGCCGUGUGCGUAUCGAGCGCAUAAGCAGAUAAGGGUAGCAACUAGCAAGCAUACGAGAACGGAUGAGGUAAGCAGAAUGAAGCAGUGGAUAAUCAAGAAGAGAGCAGUUGCUUGCCUCGUAGUCGUACGCUGUGGCCGGUGAUGCAGACGCGGAUGUUCUGGGGCGGAUGCGGAGCCGUCUCGCCGGCGUGGAGGCGGCAA